CACGAGUCGGCAUUCGUAUUCCCGCCUCGCAGUAGGCCAAAGUAGAACAUUUUUUUUAGUUUCGAAAUAAAGGUCUACUGGCAAAAUCCGAUCCCUGCCUCCUCGUGGCGCUGCCGGAUGUCGGUCUUGGAGAGCCUUGCGCACUCUGUCAAGACCUAACCAAAGGGACGGUGCUGCUGUCUUGCAAUACUGAACAAAAGACAGUGGCAGGACCUAUGGACAUUAUUUGAACUUUUAAACAAUUCACAAAGCACAAAUUAAAUCAAGCAACGUGUUUUCUGUUUGUCCGCCAAUCUUAUAAUGACGAUAAUCUGUCAGUUUUUAUUAAACAUCCAGGUUUGUACAUCUAUUGAGCGCUGACGUUUAACGUUUGACAGUUGGCGUUCACCUACCAAAUCUUACGGUUUAUAUAAGUUUACAAACUGAAGGAAGACUUGCAACUUCCUGCAAACAAUAACAAAAGGUCUUGCGCGUUCGGUCCUAGAGAUAAUUACACCAAGCAUCAGCUUUGGCGUCUUGGGACCAAUGCUAUGGGCCUGGAGUGUAAGAUCUCAACGUUGGAGAAUGGGCUACCCAAGAGCCCAGCGGAGUGCUGUGCAUCGGGAUUCGGCAAUGGAAUCUUGGAGCCAUUGCUAUUGGCCCGAACGCAAGCUUCAAAGGAGGUUGUGGACGUCCAAGCGUCCUGCUAGAGGAAUUAUGUGCUGUGCAGAAAUACGGGAUGGGGGCUGGUAUGGUAAGCACGAACGCAUAAUUGUUGUUGCAUGUAACCGAGGUCUUUUGGACGGGGAAAAGAGAGAAUGGAGUGUGAGAUGAUCGUUAAACUGGAUGGAGAUUGGGAACCUCUAAUCCGGUGGCAAAUGAUCUGACUACAUUAAUCUAGAAAAUCCUUGUACCAGGAUCUUGCAAGACGGCAUCGUGGAACAAUCAUUGAUCUGCAGGGAGAUUGGGAACCUUCCUACCAGUAGCAUUUGAUUUGACCGCAAUGAUGGUGUUCAAGAUCCUUACACCAGGAUCGACAGAAGGGGGAUCGCGGAACGAUCAUUAAUCCGUUGGGAGAUUGGGAACCUCCUUAUAAAAGGCUAAUGAUCUGACUGCAAGAUCCGGGAGAUAAUUAUUACACCGGGCAUCAGCAUUGGCGUCUUGGGACCAAUGCUAUGGGCCUGGAGUGUAGGAUCUCAACGUUGGAGAAUGGGUUACCCAAGAGCCCAGCGAAGUGCUGUGCAUCGGGAUCAGGCUAUGGAAUCUUGGAGCCAUUGCUAUUGGCCCGAACGCAAGCUUCAAACGAGGUUGUGGACGUCCAAGCGUCCUGCUAGAGGAAUUAUGUGCUGUGCAGAAAUACGGGAUGGGGGCUGGUAUGGUAAGCACGAACGCAUAAUUGUUGUUGCAUGUAACCGAGGUCUUUUGGACGGGGAAAAGAGAGAAUGGAGUGUGAGAUGAUCGUUAAACUGGAUGGAGAUUGGGAACCUCUAAUCCGGUGGCAAAUGAUCUGACUACAUUAAUCUAGAAAAUCCUUGUACCAGGAUCUUGCAAGACGGCAUCGUGGAACAAUCAUUGAUCUGCAGGGAGAUUUGAACCUUCCUACCAGUAGCAUUUGAUUUGACCGCAAUGAUGGUGUUCAAGAUCCUUACACCAGGAUCGACAGAAGGGGAAUCGCGGAACGGUCAUUAAUCCGUUGGGAGAUUGGGAACCUCCUUAUAAAAGGCUAAUGAUCUGACCGCAAGAUCAGGGAGAUAAUUAUUACACUGGGCAUCAGCAUUGGAUUCUUGGGACCAAUGCUAUGGGCCUGGAGCGUACGAUCUCAACGUUGGAGAAUGGGCUACCCAAGAGCCCAGCGAAGUGCUAUGCAUCGGGAUUCGGCAAAGGAAUCUUGGAGCCAUUGCUAUUGGCCCGAACGCAAGCUUCAAAGGAGGUUGUGGACGUCCAAGCGUCCUGCUAGAGGAAUUAUGUGCUGUGCAGAAAUACUGGAUGGGGGCUGGUAUGGUAAGCACGAACGCAUAAUUGUCGUUGCAUGUAACCGAGGUCUUUUGGACGGGGAAAAGAGAGAAUGGAGUGUGAGAUGAUCGUUAAACUGGAUGGAGAUUGGGAACCUCUAAUCCAGUGGCAAAUGAUCUGACUACAUUAAUCUAGAAAAUCCUUGUACCAGGAUCAUUCAAGACGGCAUCGCGGAACAAUCAUUGAUCUGCAGGGAGAUUGGGAACCUUCCUACCAGUAGCAUUUGAUUUGACCGCAAUGAUGGUGUUCAAGAUCCUUACACCAGGAUCGACAGAAGGGGGAUCGCGGAACGAUCAUUAAUCCGUUGGGAGAUUGGGAACCUCCUUAUAAAAGGCUAAUGAUCUGACUGCAAGAUCAGGGAGAUAAUUAUUACACCGGGCAUCAGCAUUGGAUUCUUGGGACCCAUGCUAUGGGCCUGGAGUGUAGGAUCUCAACGUUGGAGGAUGGGCUACCCAAGAGCCCAGCGGAGUGCUGUGCAUCGGGAUUCGGCAAAGGAAUCUUGGAGCCAUUGCUAUUGGCCCGAACGCAAGCUUCAAAGGUGGUUGUGGACGGCCAAGCGUCCUGCUAGAGGAAUUAUGUGCUGUGCAGAAAUACUGGAUGGGGGCUGGUAUGGUAAGCACGAACGCAUAAUUGUUGUUGCAUGUAACCGAGGUCUUUUGGACUGGGAAAAGAGAGAAUGGAGUGUGAGAUGAUCGUUAAACUGGAUGGAGAUUGGGAACCUCUAAUCCGGUGGCAAAUGAUCUGACUACAUUAAUCUAGAAAAUCCUUGUACCAGGAGCAUGUAAGACGGCAUCGCGGAACAAUCAUUGAUCUGCAGGGAGAUUGGGAACCUUCCUACCAGUAGCAUUUGAUUUGACCGCAAUGAUGGUGUUCAAGAUCCUUACACCAGGAUCGACAGAAGGGGGAUCGCGGAACGAUCAUUAAUCCGUUGGGAGAUUGGGAACCUCCUUAUAAAAGGCUAAUGAUCUGACUGCAAGAUCCGGGAGAUAAUUAUUACACCGGGCAUCAGCAUUGGAUUCUUGGGACCCAUGCUAUGGGCCUGGAUUGUAGGAUCUCAACGUUGGAGGAUGGGCUACCCAAGAGCCCAGCGGAGUGCUGUGCAUCGGGAUUCGGCAAAGGAAUCUUGGAGCCAUUGCUAUUGGCCCGAACGCAAGCUUCAAAGGUGGUUGUGGACGGCCAAGCGUUCAUAGAGGAGGGUGUACAUCGUGCUACAAUACUUCACCAGGGCACUGGUAUUGUUGGCUCUUACCUCGGGUUUUGUAAGCUCGUGUUAUGAAAAUGCCUGGAUCGUGCGCAUUGAGUGCGAUUUAAAUAAAAAUAUAAAAAAUCAAAAAAAAGAAGGAAGAAGGAGAAAAACAGGAGUUACGUUGAAUGGACGAGGGAAGAUUCUAUGAUUCUUCGGUUCAUAAGAUAGUUUCGCUAUGGGUAUCAGCGUUGGCGUCUUGGGACCCAUGCUAUGGGCCUGGAGUGUAGGAUCUCAACGUUGGAGGAUGGGCUACCCAAGAGCCCAGCGGAGUGCUGUGCAUCGGGAUCAGGAUAUGGAAUCUUGGAGUCAUUGCUAUUGGCCCGAACGCAAGCUUCAAAGGUGGUUGUGGACGUCCAAGCGUCCUGCUAGAGGAAUUAUGUGCUGGGCAGAAAUACUGGAUGGGGGCUGGUAUGGUAAGCACGAACGCAUAAUUGUCGUUGCAUGUAACCGAGGUCUUUUGGACGGGGAAAAGAGAGAAUGGAGUGUGAGAUGAUCGUUAAACUGGAUGGAGAUUGGGAACCUCUAAUCCGGUGGCAAAUGAUCUGACUACAUUAAUCUAGAAAAUCCUUGUACCAGGAUCAUUCAAGACGGCAUCGCGGAACAAUCAUUGAUCUGCAGGGAGAUUGGGAACCUUCCUACCAGUAGCAUUUGAUUUGACCGCAAUGAUGGUGUUCAAGAUCCUUACACCAGGAUCGACAGAAGGGGGAUCGCGGAACGAUCAUUAGUCCUUUGGGAGAUUGGGAACCUCCUUAUAAAAGGCUAAUGAUCUGACUGCAAGAUCCAGGAGAUAAUUAUUACACCGGGCAUCAGCAUUGGAUUCUUGGGACCCAUGCUAUGGGCCUGGAGUGUAGGAUCUCAACGUUGGAGGAUGGGCUACCCAAGAGCCCAGCGGAGUGCUGUGCAUCGGGAUCAGGCUAUGGAAUCUUGGAGUCAUUGCUAUUGGCCCGAACGCAAGCUUCAAAGGUGGUUGUGGACGUCCAAGCGUCCUGCUAGAGGAAUUAUGUGCUGGGCAGAAAUACUGGAUGGGGGCUGGUAUGGUAAGCACGAACGCAUAAUUGUCGUUGCAUGUAACCGAGGUCUUUUGGACGGGGAAAAGAGAGAAUGGAGUGUGAGAUGAUCGUUAAACUGGAUGGAGAUUGGGAACCUCUAAUCCGGUGGCAAAUGAUCUGACUACAUUAAUCUAGAAAAUCCUUGUACCAGGAUCUUGCAAGACGGCAUCGUGGAACAAUCAUUGAUCUGCAGGGAGAUUGGGAACCUUCCUACCAGUAGCAUUUGAUUUGACCGCAAUGAUGGUGUUCAAGAUCCUUACACCAGGAUCGACAGAAGGGGGAUCGCGGAACGAUCAUUAAUCUGUUGGGAGAUUGGGAACCUCCUUAUAAAAGGCUAAUGAUCUGACUGCAAGAUCAGGGAGAUAAUUAUUACACCGGGCAUCAGCAUUGGAUUCUUGGGACCCAUGCUAUGGGCCUGGAGUGUAGGAUCUCAACGUUGGAGGAUGGGCUACCCAAGAGCCCAGCGGAGUGCUGUGCAUCGGGAUUCGGCAAAGGAAUCUUGGAGCCAUUGCUAUUGGCCCGAACGCAAGCUUCAAAGGUGGUUGUGGACGGCCAAGCGUUCAUAGAGGAGGGUGUACAUCGUGCUACAAUACUUCACCAGGGCACUGGUAUUGUUGGCUCUUACCUCGGGUUUUGUAAGCUCGUGUUAUGAAAAUGCCUGGAUCGUGCGCAUUGAGUGCGAUUUAAAUAAAAAUAUAAAAAAUCAAAAAAAAGAAGGAAGAAGGAGAAAAACAGGAGUUACGUUGAAUGGACGAGGGAAGAUUCUAUGAUUCUUCGGUUCAUAAGAUAGUUUCGCUAUGGGUAUCAGCGUUGGCGUCUUGGGACCAAUGCUAUGGGCCUGGAGCGUACGAUCUCAACGUUGGAGAAUGGGCUACCCAAGAGCCCAGCGAAGUGCUAUGCAUCGGGAUUCGGCAAAGGAAUCUUGGAGCCAUUGCUAUUGGCCCGAACGCAAGCUUCAAAGGAGGUUGUGGACGUCCAAGCGUCCUGCUAGAGGAAUUAUGUGCUGUGCAGAAAUACUGGAUGGGGGCUGGUAUGGUAAGCACGAACGCAUAAUUGUUGUUGCAUUUAACCGAGGUCUUUUGGACUGGGAAAAGAGAGAAUGGAGUGUGAGAUGAUCGUUAAACUGGAUGGAGAUUGGGAACCUCUAAUCCGGUGGCAAAUGAUCUGACUACAUUAAUCUAGAAAAUCCUUGUACCAGGAGCAUGUAAGACGGCAUCGCGGAACAAUCAUUGAUCUGCAGGGAGAUUGGGAACCUUCCUACCAGUAGCAUUUGAUUUGACCGCAAUGAUGGUGUUCAAGAUCCUUACACCAGGAUCGACAGAAGGGGGAUCGCGGAACGAUCAUUAAUCCGUUGGGAGAUUGGGAACCUCCUUAUAAAAGGCUAAUGAUCUGACUGCAAGAUCAGGGAGAUAAUUAUUACACCGGGCAUCAGCAUUGGAUUCUUGGGACCCAUGCUAUGGGCCUGGAGUGUAGGAUCUCAACGUUGGAGGAUGGGCUACCCAAGAGCCCAGCGGAGUGCUGUGCAUCGGGAUUCGGCAAAGGAAUCUUGGAGCCAUUGCUAUUGGCCCGAACGCAAGCUUCAAAGGUGGUUGUGGACGGCCAAGCGUUCAUAGAGGAGGGUGUACAUCGUGCUACAAUACUUCACCAGGGCACUGGUAUUGUUGGCUCUUACCUCGGGUUUUGUAAGCUCGUGUUAUGAAAAUGCCUGGAUCGUGCGCAUUGAGUGCGAUUUAAAUAAAAAUAUAAAAAAUCAAAAAAAAAGAAGGAAGAAGGAGAAAAACAGGAGUUACGUUGAAUGGACGAGGGAAGAUUCUAUGAUUCUUCGGUUCAUAAGAUAGUUUCGCUAUGGGUAUCAGCGUUGGCGUCUUGGGACCAAUGCUAUGGGCCUGGAGCGUACGAUCUCAACGUUGGAGAAUGGGCUACCCAAGAGCCCAGCGAAGUGAUGUGCAGCGGGAUCAGGCUAUGGAAUCUUGGAGCCAUUGCUAUUGGCCCGAACGCAAGCUUCAAAGGAGGUUGUGGACGUCCAAGCGUCCUGCUAGAGGAAUUAUGUGCUGUGCAGAAAUACUGGAUGGGGGCUGGUAUGGUAAGCACGAACGCAUAAUUGUCGUUGCAUGUAACCGAGGUCUUUUGGACUGGGAAAAGAGAGAAUGGAGUGUGAGAUGAUCGUUAAACUGGAUGGAGAUUGGGAACCUCUAAUCCAGUGGCAAAUGAUCUGACUACAUUAAUCUAGAAAAUCCUUGUACCAGGAGCAUGGAAGACGGCAUCGCGGAACAAUCAUUGAUCUGCAGGGAGAUUGGGAACCUUCCUACCAGUAGCAUUUGAUUUGACCGCAAUGAUGGUGUUCAAGAUCCUUACACCAGGAUCGACAGAAGGGGGAUCGCGGAACGAUCAUUAGUCCUUUGGGAGAUUGGGAACCUCCUUAUAAAAGGCUAAUGAUCUGACUGCAAGAUCAGGGAGAUAAUUAUUACACCGGGCAUCAGCAUUGGAUUCUUGGGACCCAUGCUAUGGGCCUGGAGUGUAGGAUCUCAACGUUGGAGGAUGGGCUACCCAAGAGCCCAGCGGAGUGCUGUGCAUCGGGAUUCGGCAAAGGAAUCUUGGAGCCAUUGCUAUUGGCCCGAACGCAAGCUUCAAAGGUGGUUGUGGACGGCCAAGCGUUCAUAGAGGAGGGUGUACAUCGUGCUACAAUACUUCACCAGGGCACUGGUAUUGUUGGCUCUUACCUCGGGUUUUGUAAGCUCGUGUUAUGAAAAUGCCUGGAUCGUGCGCAUUGAGUGCGAUUUAAAUAAAAAUAUAAAAAAUCAAAAAAAAGAAGGAAGAAGGAGAAAAACAGGAGUUACGUUGAAUGGACGAGGGAAGAUUCUAUGAUUCUUCGGUUCAUAAGAUAGUUUCGCUAUGGGUAUCAGCGUUGGCGUCUUGGGACCAAUGCUAUGGGCCUGGAGCGUACGAUCUCAACGUUGGAGAAUGGGCUACCCAAGAGCCCAGCGAAGUGAUGUGCAGCGGGAUCAGGCUAUGGAAUCUUGGAGCCAUUGCUAUUGGCCCGAACGCAAGCUUCAAAGGAGGUUGUGGACGUCCAAGCGUCCUGCUAGAGGAAUUAUGUGCUGGGCAGAAAUACUGGAUGGGGGCUGGUAUGGUAAGCAGGAACGCAUAAUUGUUGUUGCAUUUAACCGAGGUCUUUUGGACGGGGAAAAGAGAGAAUGGAGUGUGAGAUGAUCGUUAAACUGGAUGGAGAUUGGGAACCUCUAAUCCGGUGGCAAAUGAUCUGACUACAUUAAUCUAGAAAAUCCUUGUACCAGGAGCAUGUAAGACGGCAUCGCGGAACAAUCAUUGAUCUGCAGGGAGAUUGGGAACCUUCCUACCAGUAGCAUUUGAUUUGACCGCAAUGAUGGUGUUCAAGAUCCUUACACCAGGAUCGACAGAAGGGGGAUCGCGGAACGAUCAUUAGUCCUUUGGGAGAUUGGGAACCUCCUUAUAAAAGGCUAAUGAUCUGACUGCAAGAUCAGGGAGAUAAUUAUUACACCGGGCAUCAGCAUUGGAUUCUUGGGACCCAUGCUAUGGGCCUGGAGUGUAGGAUCUCAACGUUGGAGGAUGGGCUACCCAAGAGCCCAGCGGAGUGCUGUGCAUCGGGAUUCGGCAAAGGAAUCUUGGAGCCAUUGCUAUUGGCCCGAACGCAAGCUUCAAAGGUGGUUGUGGACGGCCAAGCGUUCAUAGAGGAGGGUGUACAUCGUGCUACAAUACUUCACCAGGGCACUGGUAUUGUUGGCUCUUACCUCGGGUUUUGUAAGCUCGUGUUAUGAAAAUGCCUGGAUCGUGCGCAUUGAGUGCGAUUUAAAUAAAAAUAUAAAAAAUCAAAAAAAAAGAAGGAAGAAGGAGAAAAACAGGAGUUACGUUGAAUGGACGAGGGAAGAUUCUAUGAUUCUUCGGUUCAUAAGAUAGUUUCGCUAUGGGUAUCAGCGUUGGCGUCUUGGGACCAAUGCUAUGGGCCUGGAGCGUACGAUCUCAACGUUGGAGAAUGGGCUACCCAAGAGCCCAGCGAAGUGAUGUGCAGCGGGAUCAGGCUAUGGAAUCUUGGAGCCAUUGCUAUUGGCCCGAACGCAAGCUUCAAAGGAGGUUGUGGACGUCCAAGCGUCCUGCUAGAGGAAUUAUGUGCUGUGCAGAAAUACUGGAUGGGGGCUGGUAUGGUAAGCACGAACGCAUAAUUGUCGUUGCAUGUAACCGAGGUCUUUUGGACGGGGAAAAGAGAGAAUGGAGUGUGAGAUGAUCGUUAAACUGGAUGGAGAUUGGGAACCUCUAAUCCAGUGGCAAAUGAUCUGACUACAUUAAUCUAGAAAAUCCUUGUACCAGGAUCAUUCAAGACGGCAUCGCGGAACAAUCAUUGAUCUGCAGGGAGAUUGGGAACCUUCCUACCAGUAGCAUUUGAUUUGACCGCAAUGAUGGUGUUCAAGAUCCUUACACCAGGAUCGACAGAAGGGGGAUCGCGGAACGAUCAUUAGUCCUUUGGGAGAUUGGGAACCUCCUUAUAAAAGGCUAAUGAUCUGACUGCAAGAUCCAGGAGAUAAUUAUUACACCGGGCAUCAGCAUUGGAUUCUUGGGACCCAUGCUAUGGGCCUGGAGUGUAGGAUCUCAACGUUGGAGGAUGGGCUACCCAAGAGCCCAGCGGAGUGCUGUGCAUCGGGAUCAGGCUAUGGAAUCUUGGAGUCAUUGCUAUUGGCCCGAACGCAAGCUUCAAAGGUGGUUGUGGACGUCCAAGCGUCCUGCUAGAGGAAUUAUGUGCUGGGCAGAAAUACUGGAUGGGGGCUGGUAUGGUAAGCACGAACGCAUAAUUGUCGUUGCAUGUAACCGAGGUCUUUUGGACGGGGAAAAGAGAGAAUGGAGUGUGAGAUGAUCGUUAAACUGGAUGGAGAUUGGGAACCUCUAAUCCGGUGGCAAAUGAUCUGACUACAUUAAUCUAGAAAAUCCUUGUACCAGGAGCAUGUAAGACGGCAUCGCGGAACAAUCAUUGAUCUGCAGGGAGAUUGGGAACCUUCCUACCAGUAGCAUUUGAUUUGACCGCAAUGAUGGUGUUCAAGAUCCUUACACCAGGAUCGACAGAAGGGGGAUCGCGGAACGAUCAUUAAUCCGUUGGGAGAUUGGGAACCUCCUUAUAAAAGGCUAAUGAUCUGACUGCAAGAUCAGGGAGAUAAUUAUUACACCGGGCAUCAGCAUUGGAUUGUUGGGACCCAUGCUAUGGGCCUGGAGUGUAGGAUCUCAACGUUGGAGGAUGGGCUACCCAAGAGCCCAGCGGAGUGCUGUGCAUCGGGAUUCGGCAAAGGAAUCUUGGGGCCAUUGCUAUUGGCCCGAACGCAAGCUUCAAAGGUGGUUGUGGACGGCCAAGCGUUCAUAGAGGAGGGUGUACAUCGUGCUACAAUACUUCACCAGGGCACUGGUAUUGUUGGCUCUUACCUCGGGUUUUGUAAGCUCGUGUUAUGAAAAUGCCUGGAUCGUGCGCAUUGAGUGCGAUUUAAAUAAAAAUAUAAAAAAUCAAAAAAAAGAAGGAAGAAGGAGAAAAACAGGAGUUACGUUGAAUGGACGAGGGAAGAUUCUAUGAUUCUUCGGUUCAUAAGAUAGUUUCGCUAUGGGUAUCAGCGUUGGCGUCUUGGGACCAAUGCUAUGGGCCUGGAGCGUACGAUCUCAACGUUGGAGAAUGGGCUACCCAAGAGCCCAGCGAAGUGCUGUGCAUCGGGAUCAGGCUAUGGAAUCUUGGAGUCAUUGCUAUUGGCCCGAACGCAAGCUUCAAAGGAGGUUGUGGACGUCCAAGCGUCCUGCUAGAGGAAUUAUGUGCUGUGCAGAAAUACUGGAUGGGGGCUGGUAUGGUAAGCACGAACGCAUAAUUGUCGUUGCAUGUAACCGAGGUCUUUUGGACGGGGAAAAGAGAGAAUGGAGUGUGAGAUGAUCGUUAAACUGGAUGGAGAUUGGGAACCUCUAAUCCAGUGGCAAAUGAUCUGACUACAUUAAUCUAGAAAAUCCUUGUACCAGGAUCAUUCAAGACGGCAUCGCGGAACAAUCAUUGAUCUGCAGGGAGAUUGGGAACCUUCCUAUCAGUAGCAUUUGAUUUGACCGCAAUGAUGGUGUUCAAGAUCCUUACACCAGGAUCGACAGAAGGGGGAUCGCGGAACGAUCAUUAGUCCUUUGGGAGAUUGGGAACCUCCUUAUAAAAGGCUAAUGAUCUGACUGCAAGAUCCAGGAGAUAAUUAUUACACCGGGCAUCAGCAUUGGAUUCUUGGGACCCAUGCUAUGGGCCUGGAGUGUAGGAUCUCAACGUUGGAGGAUGGGCUACCCAAGAGCCCAGCGGAGUGCUGUGCAUCGGGAUCAGGCUAUGGAAUCUUGGAGUCAUUGCUAUUGGCCCGAACGCAAGCUUCAAAGGUGGUUGUGGACGUCCAAGCGUCCUGCUAGAGGAAUUAUGUGCUGGGCAGAAAUACUGGAUGGGGGCUGGUAUGGUAAGCACGAACGCAUAAUUGUCGUUGCAUGUAACCGAGGUCUUUUGGACGGGGAAAAGAGAGAAUGGAGUGUGAGAUGAUCGUUAAACUGGAUGGAGAUUGGGAACCUCUAAUCCGGUGGCAAAUGAUCUGACUACAUUAAUCUAGAAAAUCCUUGUACCAGGAUCAUUCAAGACGGCAUCGCGGAACAAUCAUUGAUCUGCAGGGAGAUUGGGAACCUUCCUACCAGUAGCAUUUGAUUUGACCGCAAUGAUGGUGUUCAAGAUCCUUACACCAGGAUCGACAGAAGGGGGAUCGCGGAACGAUCAUUAGUCCUUUGGGAGAUUGGGAACCUCCUUAUAAAAGGCUAAUGAUCUGACUGCAAGAUCCAGGAGAUAAUUAUUACACCGGGCAUCAGCAUUGGAUUCUUGGGACCCAUGCUAUGGGCCUGGAGUGUAGGAUCUCAACGUUGGAGGAUGGGCUACCCAAGAGCCCAGCGGAGUGCUGUGCAUCGGGAUCAGGCUAUGGAAUCUUGGAGUCAUUGCUAUUGGCCCGAACGCAAGCUUCAAAGGUGGUUGUGGACGUCCAAGCGUCCUGCUAGAGGAAUUAUGUGCUGGGCAGAAAUACUGGAUGGGGGCUGGUAUGGUAAGCACGAACGCAUAAUUGUCGUUGCAUGUAACCGAGGUCUUUUGGACGGGGAAAAGAGAGAAUGGAGUGUGAGAUGAUCGUUAAACUGGAUGGAGAUUGGGAACCUCUAAUCCGGUGGCAAAUGAUCUGACUACAUUAAUCUAGAAAAUCCUUGUACCAGGAGCAUGUAAGACGGCAUCGCGGAACAAUCAUUGAUCUGCAGGGAGAUUGGGAACCUUCCUACCAGUAGCAUUUGAUUUGACCGCAAUGAUGGUGUUCAAGAUCCUUACACCAGGAUCGACAGAAGGGGGAUCGCGGAACGAUCAUUAAUCCGUUGGGAGAUUGGGAACCUCCUUAUAAAAGGCUAAUGAUCUGACUGCAAGAUCAGGGAGAUAAUUAUUACACCGGGCAUCAGCAUUGGAUUCUUGGGACCCAUGCUAUGGGCCUGGAGUGUAGGAUCUCAACGUUGGAGGAUGGGCUACCCAAGAGCCCAGCGGAGUGCUGUGCAUCGGGAUUCGGCAAAGGAAUCUUGGAGCCAUUGCUAUUGGCCCGAACGCAAGCUUCAAAGGAGGUUGUGGACGUCCAAGCGUCCUGCUAGAGGAAUUAUGUGCUGUGCAGAAAUACUGGAUGGGGGCUGGUAUGGUAAGCACGAACGCAUAAUUGUUGUUGCAUGUAACCGAGGUCUUUUGGACUGGGAAAAGAGAGAAUGGAGUGUGAGAUGAUCGUUAAACUGGAUGGAGAUUGGGAACCUCUAAUCCGGUGGCAAAUGAUCUGACUACAUUAAUCUAGAAAAUCCUUGUACCAGGAGCAUGUAAGACGGCGUCGUGGAACAAUCAUUGAUCUGCAGGGAGAUUGGGAACCUUCCUACCAGUAGCAUUUGAAUUGACCGCAAUGAUGGUGUUCAAGAUCCUUACACCAGGAUCGACAGAAGGGGGAUCGCGGAACGAUCAUUAGUCCUUUGGGAGAUUGGGAACCUCCUUAUAAAAGGCUAAUGAUCUGACUGCAAGAUCAGGGAGAUAAUUACACCGGGCAUCAGCGUUGGCGUCUUGGGACCAAUGCUAUGGGCCUGGAGCGUACGAUCUCAACGUUGGAGAAUGGGCUACCCAAGAGCCCAGCGAAGUGCUGUGCAUCGGGAUCAGGCUAUGGAAUCUUGGAGUCAUUGCUAUUGGCCCGAACGCAAGCUUCAAAGGAGGUUGUGGACGUCCAAGCGUCCUGCUAGAGGAAUUAUGUGCUGUGCAGAAAUACUGGAUGGGGGCUGGUAUGGUAAGCACGAACGCAUAAUUGUUGUUGCAUGUAACCGAGGUCUUUUGGACUGGGAAAAGAGAGAAUGGAGUGUGAGAUGAUCGUUAAACUGGAUGGAGAUUGGGAACCUCUAAUCCGGUGGCAAAUGAUCUGACUACAUUAAUCUAGAAAAUCCUUGUACCAGGAGCAUGUAAGACGGCGUCGUGGAACAAUCAUUGAUCUGCAGGGAGAUUGGGAACCUUCCUACCAGUAGCAUUUGAAUUGACCGCAAUGAUGGUGUUCAAGAUCCUUACACCAGGAUCGACAGAAGGGGGAUCGCGGACGAUCAUUAGUCCUUUGGGAGAUUGGGAACCUCCUUAUAAAAGGCUAAUGAUCUGACCGCAAGAUCCGGGAGACAAUUAUUACACCGGGCAUCAGCAUUGGAUUCUUGGGACCCAUGCUAUGGGCCUGGAGUGUAGGAUCUCAACGUUGGAGGAUGGGCGACCCAAGAGCCCAGCGGAGUGCUGUGCAUCGGGAUUCGGCAAAGGAAUCUUGGAGCCAUUGCUAUUGGCCCGAACGCAAGCUUCAAAGGUGGUUGUGGAAGGCCAAGCGUUCAGAGAGGAGGGUGUACAUCGUGCUACAAUACUUCACCAGGGCACUGGUAUUGUUGGCUCUUACCUCGGGUUUUGUAAGCUCGUGUUAUGAAACUGCCUAGAUCGUGCGCAUUGAGUGCGAUUAAAAUAAAAAUAUUUUAAAAAAAUCAAAAAAAAGAAGGAAGAAGGAGAAAAUCAAAAAUUUGUUGGAGUGGAAAAAUGACAUAAGAAUCGAGGGCAGGAAUAAGAAACAAAUAGGAAAAUAUCAGGUGUGAAACUAAAUGUUCAUCAAUAGAGAAAACUUCACUUCUUCAUUUGCAUUUGCCGGACAAUUUGAGAAGCUUACCUAUGCUAUGCAUGAUUACGUUUGAAAUGUUGCGCCCAAAAUUGUUUAGUCCAAUAUGCUCCCUUACAGUGUUCGACCUAGCUUGUCCUGCUGUUGUUGCUUUGUAGAAAGAUUGUCGGAUUAUGUUAUGCACUGAUCUGUUCUACCUUCGAAAACUAAAACCAACAACAAACGACGAAAAUCACAUAAAUGGGAAACAUAGUGUUGUAUCAACACCAAAACGUCUAACUAUACCAAAGGUUUCAUCAAGCAACGGCUUAUCUGCGUUAGUAAUACCUUUCAACUCGGCAGUUUUCUUUAUUUGUCGGUAACAUCUGGUGUUUAGUUAACUGGUUAACCGGUCUUAAUUACUCUUUCAUUACAACUGAAAUGCACUAUAAUCAGCAAAUCCGUUAAAAGUAACAACAUUGUGCCAAAACAACUGUCUUUAGAAGAACGGUUUUUGCCUAAACUGAGGAGAAUUAGGAUUGUGAUGAAUGACAAUAGAUUAGAAUAGCAAGAAGCAGUGCAGAUCGCCACGGAAGAAGCUCCUCCAUCCAGCUCAAUCAAAUAUACGCCUCAAGAACAGCAUGUCCUGCCCUUCGUGAACGCGAGUCGCUAUUGCGAAUGAGAAAAGCCUAUGCGAACGCUGAUUCUAUUUAUGAUUCUAUAACUGGAACACCAAAUACGAGUCCGCACGAACGUCUAUAACGGCAUGAGAAUGUGAACGGGAUUGGUGCAAAAUUACCUAACUGGUGACUUAAGCUUUUCAAAACCCAUCGAAUGAAGCCCUAUUGCAGUGAAUGCUUCGUCGUACUGCAAAACGGUGUAUCAUCGUAGCCUGUGUGGACAGUGCUGCUGCAUGAUCGCGCCGGUGUUAAGAGUUCAAAUGAGUCCACGUGAUUAAAAAUGGUUGGGAAGCUCUGUAUCGUAAAACAACACAAAAUACAGUGCUUGGAUAUAAAAAUCAAGCCUACCCCAAGAGUAUCCAGAGAAGAACCACGCGAAACUGUAUAGAACACUCGAACUGAAGCACCUCCUGAUCAAAAUUCGGCAUUGUCACUGCCUCCAGUAGUUCUGUAAAGAGUUAUUCGGAAGCAGAAGCAGGACUUGUGGAAGUGGUGAGCACAAAGAGCAUGUGAAGAAGUAUGUUCCCCAGAUGGCAGUCCGCAAAGUUUACGAACCGGGAGUGAAGCUUCACUCGAACGCUGCACAGCACCCUUGUUCACGAUUCAUCUGUUCUACUCAGUGUUGGAAAACAGUUUAAAAAAAAAUCACACCUUCAAGCGUUGGAGUUAAUAACUUAAAAGGUCAACUCGAGUACAAAAAAUUUAAACUGUUACCCGCACAACCUCACCAACGACGACGACGACUUGCCGUGCAUGAAAUGGCAGACGAUGAUGUUUUUGAGUUGUAAGCUACGUUUUAGAAGUGUUCGCUAACCGGAUGAUUCAAAUAACCGGACAAAUGAAGAAAAUGGCGGUUUGAAAAGAGAUCUAGGAGGAAGAAAGGGAAUAGAUGAGUAGCGCAGCAUAAUUAUGGUUUUCCGACAUGAUGUUUUUUUUAUAGAAUACACUUAAUUUCAAAUUUGAGAUACAAGAUAAGCAGGUAUAUUCAUUCUAAUUGCGACAAUCCUAAAUGCAAGUAAAAACAGAUAAUGGCAGGUUGAACUAAGAUAAUUUGAUGUUCCUAAAAGGCGCGCAGGCCAUUUAUUUCGAAUUCAAUAAAGAUGUUGUGAAGAAUGAUGGGCAAGGAAUUGAA